UGAGGAAUAUUGGUCAAUGGGCGGGAGCCUGAACCAGCCAAGCCGCGUGAGGGAAUAAGGCCCUACGGGUCGUAAACCUCUUUUGUCGGGGAACAAAAGCGGGGACGUGUCCCCGUCUGCGUGUACCCGAAGAAAAGCAUCGGCUAACUCCGUGCC
rnacentral:rRNA from 1 species